rnacentral:rRNA from 1 species
AGAGUUUGAUCAUGGCUCAGAUUGAACGCUGGCGGCAUGCCUUACACAUGCAAGUCGAACGGUAACAGCACUUCGGUGGCUGACGAGUGGCGAACGGGUGAGUAAUACAUCGGAACGUGCCCGAGAGUGGGGGAUAACGCAGCGAAAGCUGUGCUAAUACCGCAUACGAUCUACGGAUGAAAGCAGGGGACCGCAAGGCCUUGCGCUCAUGGAGCGGCCGAUGGCAGAUUAGGUAGUUGGUGGGAUAAAAGCUUACCAAGCCGACGAUCUGUAGCUGGUCUGAGAGGACGACCAGCCACACUGGGACUGAGACACGGCCCAGACUCCUACGGGAGGCAGCAGUGGGGAAUUUUGGACAAUGGGCGAAAGCCUGAUCCAGCCAUGCCGCGUGCAGGAUGAAGGCCUUCGGGUUGUAAACUGCUU